CCUACGGGAGGCAGCAGUGGGGGAUAUUGCACAAUGGGGGAAACCCUGAUGCAGCGACGCCGCGUGUGGGAAGAAGGUCCUCUGGAUUGUAAACCACUGUCCCCAGGGACGAAGAUGACGGUACCUGGGGAGGAAGCUCCGGCUAACUACGUGCCAGCAGCCGCGGUAAUACGUAGGGAGCGAGCGUUGUCCGGAAUUACUGGGUGUAAAGGGAGCGUAGGCGGGGAUGCAAGGUGGGUGUCAAAACGACCGGCUCAACUGCUAGCAGCACUCGAAACUGCAGCUCUUGAGUGAAGUAGAGGCAGGCGGAAUUCCUAGUGUAGCGGUGAAAUGCGUAGAUAUUAGGAGGAACACCAGUGGCGAAGGCGGCCUGCUGGGCUUUUACUGACGCUGAGGCUCGAAAGUGUGGGGAGCAAACAGGAUUAGAUACCCGUGUAGUC
rnacentral:rRNA from 1 species